AUACGGAGGAUCCAAGCGUUAUCCGGAUUUAUUGGGUUUAAAGGGUGCGUAGGCGGACUGGUAAGUCAGCUGUGAAAGUUUGCGGCUUAACCGUGAAAUUGCAGUUGAUACUGUCAGUCUUGAGUGUGCAUGAGGUGGGCGGCAUUUGUGGUGUAGCGGUGAAAUGCUUAGAUAUCACGAGGAACUCCAAUUGCGAAGGCAGCUCACUGGGGCAUAACUGACGCUGAUGCACGAAGGUGUGGGUAUCAAACAGGAUUAGAUACCCUGGUAGUCCACACAGUAAACUAUGAAUACUCGCUGUUUGCGAUAUACAGUAAGCGGCCAAGCGAAAGCAUUAAGUAUUCCACCUGGGGAGUACGCCGGCAACGGUGAAACUCAAAUGAAUUGACGGGG
rnacentral:rRNA from 1 species